rnacentral:rRNA from 1 species
GAAUAUUGGUCAAUGGGCGCAAGCCUGAACCAGCCAUGCCGCGUGCAGGAUGACGGUCCUAUGGAUUGUAAACUGCUUUUGUACGGGAAGAAACACUCCUCCGUGUAGGAGCUUGCCGGUACCGUAAGAAUAAGGAUCGGCUAACUCCGUGCCAGCAGCCGCGGUAAUACGGAGGAUCUAAGCGGUAUCCGGAAUCAUUGGGUUUAAAGGGUCCGUAGGCGGUUUAAUAAGUCAGUGGUGAAAGCCCAUCGCUUAACGAUGGAACGGCCAUUGAUACUGUUAGACUUGAAUUAGUGGGAAGUAACUAGAAUAUGUAGUGUAGCGGUGAAAUGCUUAGAUAUUACAUGGAAUACCAAUUGCGAAGGCAGGUUACUAUCACUAUAUUGACGCUGAUGGACGAAAGCGUGGGGAGCGAACAGG